rnacentral:rRNA from 1 species
AUUGAACGCUGGCGGCAGGCCUAACACAUGCAAGUCGAGCGAGCGGCGGACGGGUGAGUAAUGUAUGGGGAUCUGCCUGAUGUAGGGGGAUAACUGCUGGAAACGGUAGCUAAUACCGCAUACCAUCAGAUGAACCCAUAUGGGAUUAGCUUGUCGGUGAGGUAACGGCUCACCUAGGCGACGCUCCCUAGCUGGUCUGAGAGGAUGAUCGGCCACACUGGGACUGAGACACGGCCCAGACUCCUACGGGAGGCAGCAGUGGGGAAUAUUGCCCAAUGGGCGAAAGCCUGAUGCAGCAAUGCCGCGUGUAUGAAGAAGGCCUUCGGGUUGUAAAGUACUUUCAGUCGGGAGGCGGUACCGACAGAAGAAGCACCGGCUAACUCCGUGCCAGCAGCCGCGGUAAUUC